UACAGAGGUCUCAAGCGUUGUUCGGAUUCAUUGGGCGUAAAGGGUGUCGUAGGUGGCGCCGUAAGUCGGGUGUGAAAAUUUCGGAGCUUAGCUCCGAAACUGCAUUCGAUACUGCGGUGCUUGAGGACUGGAGAGGAGACUGGAAUUCAUGGUGUAGCAGUGAAAUGCGUAGAGAUCAUGAGGAAGACCAGUGGCGAAGGCGGGUCUCUGGACAGUUCCUGACACUGAGGCACGAAGGCCAGGGGGAGCAAACGGG
rnacentral:rRNA from 1 species